rnacentral:rRNA from 1 species
CACGUAGGGUGCAAGCGUUGUCCGGAAUUAUUGAGCGUAAAGGGCUCGUAGGCGGUCCGUCGCGUCGGGAGUGAAAACUCGGGGCUCAACCCCGAGCCUGCUUUCGAUACGGGCGGACUAGAGGUAGGUAGGGGAGAACGGAAUUCCUGGUGUAGCGGUGAAAUGCGCAGAUAUCAGGAGGAACACCGAUGGCGAAGGCAGGUCUCUGGGACGUGACUGACGCUGAGGCGCGAAAGCCAGGGGAGCAAACGGG